AUACUUACCUGGCAGGGGAGCUACCAUGAUCACAAAGGUGGUUUUCUAGGGCGAGGCUUAUCCAUUGCACUCCGGAUGUGCUGACCCCUGCGCUUUCCCCAAAUGUGGGAAACUCGACUGCAUAAUUUGUGGCAGUGGGGGGCUGCGUUUGGUCUCCCCCUA
rnacentral:snRNA from 1 species